AAUGGAGAUUAGGUCUUCAGGUAGUAAAUGUUUUAUAAGGAUUUAAUUUUAGGGUUGGUUAGAAGAUUAUU
rnacentral:tRNA from 1 species